rnacentral:rRNA from 1 species
AUUGAACGCUGGCGGCAUGCCUAACACAUGCAAGUCGAGCGGAUGAAGGGAGCUUGCUCCUGGAUUCAGCGGCGGACGGGUGAGUAAUGCCUAGGAAUCUGCCUGGUAGUGGGGGAUAACGUCCGGAAACGGGCGCUAAUACCGCAUACGUCCUGAGGGAGAAAGUGGGGGAUCUUCGGACCUCACGCUAUCAGAUGAGCCUAGGUCGGAUUAGCUAGUUGGUGGGGUAAAGGCCUACCAAGGCGACGAUCCGUAACUGGUCUGAGAGGAUGAUCAGUCACACUGGAACUGAGACACGGUCCAGACUCCUACGGGAGGCAGCAGUGGGGAAUAUUGGACAAUGGGCGAAAGCCUGAUCCAGCCAUGCCGCGUGUGUGAAGAAGGUCUUCGGAUUGUAAAGCACUUUAAGUUGGGAGGAAGGGAAGUAAGUUAAUACCUUGCUGUUUUGACGUUACCAACAGAAUAAGCACCGGCUAACUUCGUG